UACGUAGGGGGCAAGCGUUGUCCGGAAUCAUUGGGCGUAAAGCGCGUGUAGGCGGUUCGAUAAGUCUGCUGUGAAAGUCCAGGGCUCAACCCUGGGAUGCCGGUGGAUACUGUCGAGCUAGAGUACGGAAGAGGCGAGUGGAAUUCCCGGUGUAGCGGUGAAAUGCGCAGAUAUCGGGAGGAACACCAAUUGCGAAGGCACUCUGCUGGGCCGACACUGACACUGAGAGACGAAAGCUAGGGGAGCAAAUGGG
rnacentral:rRNA from 1 species